AUGUGCAAUUCUGGUUUCCUCUGCUCUUGGCUCAUUUCCUUCAUCCUUCUGUCACCGGCAGCACUCAGUUCUCACACCCUGUGCCUCACUGCCCAGCUCCCAGCCCAACACUGCCCUCACCCAUCGCACCCCUCUCCCCGAGUCGUGUCUCUCCAGGCCUUCCCCCAUCCCCAGUUCUCGUCCACCUUCAGCUCCAGUUCCUCCCACCCCUUGCCAUUGCCCUGGCUGACAGGUCGGGUUCAGUGUAGCCAUGGAACGAGGUUCCAUCAGGCUGAUGGGGUUCCCACAGCUCUAUUUGGGCAAGCUAUCGUCUGUGACACUCAGAAUGUACUGGGAGAGGAUUCAGUGUGCACUGAAAGGCCCCACGUAAAUGGCAGCACUGCUCCUGCUGCCACCGAGCACAGAGUGUGGAAAGGAGCACCAUCCCUUAUGGAGAUCAGCAGGGGGUGGAUGUGGAGCCACGGAUGGGACGCAGUGAGGGGAGGAAGCAGCACUGCAGAUAGGUGUGCUGUGAGCUCUGGGCUUAGGAUGGACAGUCUGAGGAGGUGGGUGUUCAUCCCAUGGAAGGACGCAGCUCCCAGGCUCAGCCAGCUGUGGGUGUGUGGGGCAGGGCUGAAAUCGUGGGCAGCGCAGUCAGGCUGCAGUGCAGGGCUCCCAUGUGACACCGUGUCCCCAAAGCUGGGGGCUCCCCACACAGCAGCACAGCCCUGCACAUUUGUCAGCAGCCCAUGGAGCCCCAGCCAGUGCUGGAGACAGACAGACAGAAAGACGACACCUGCAGGAUACCCAGACUUUGUUUCAAAAUUGCUUUUUGUUGGCACUUCCAGCUCAGCACAAACUAUCUCUGCACAGCAGCCCUUCCCUCGAGCAACUUGGGGGGCACCAGGAGGGGCUGAGGCUUUGCAGGAACAGAGCUGCCUGAUGCUGAGCAGCUCCAGUGGCUCAGACCUGGCAGGGCGUGGGGAAGGGGAACAGAAGGAUGCUGUGGGGCUGCCGGGGGGUCGGGCUGCUGGGGGGUCGGGCUGCCCGGUGCUGCGGUGCUGCUGGACUUCUCAGAUUGCUGCAGGUUUUCCCACGGGCUGCAGCCCCUGUGCCACUUCCUCAGCCACACGGCUCCACACAGCAGGGCCAGGAUCACAGGCACCUUCGCACCGAUGA
rnacentral:lncRNA from 1 species